AUCUGUGUACUCGAGUCCUCCUGAAGAGAAUCCUUGUCUUGGCCUGAGUAGAGAGAGCACUUGCAGAACUGGUAGCUGUUUCCUGUUGAUUGUGCUUCGUGAAAUCAGUUCCUAUACAUCUUCAACUGUGCGCUGUCUUUAUCUUGAACUGAAGGACAACUGCUUGGAUUUUGGCAAGAAAAAUUUUCUGGAUUAUAUCCUUAAAACCUUGGUGUUGGAAAGCUGCUGAAGCACAUACUGAUCUUUUCUGGGAGAGUCACGUGCUUCCCUGAAGCAGAAUGCUUCCUCAAAUUGGUCUUGAGGUUGUUUUAGAAUAGUAGCGGGCAUCUGGAAAAACAAAUGUUCCAGUUCAGGAUGUCAUGGGGAAAUUUUAAUACAAGAAAUAUGUAUGAACCCUGUGGUCUGAAAGAACUGCCAGAAGGGAAGCUCAAAGAAAGUCCAUAUCGGCAGUAACAGCCAAGGAGGAGAGUGACUGAAACAUUGAGAACCUGUGUGUUUAGUUGGACUAAGCAGAUUUGUCCAACUAGGAUCAAGAUAUAAGACAUUUCUAUCAGAACCCUAACUGGAACACUUUGGAAUUUGGUCUACUUUUUGCAUCUGCAUCAACUCUUCCUAGUUGUUGUGGGGUUUUUUUUUUUAUCCAGUAACUCAGCUUAAGUUGGUAUAUCUCUGAGUAUGGAAUAAUUAGCCAAUGAAAUCAGUAGAAAGACUUUUUUUUCUGAAUUUGGGAGAUUCUGGAACUUGUUCUAAUCAGUCUAGCCUGUUUGAAGGCUGUAGGUCUCUAUGCAGUGUGCUAAACAAACAAAGUGUUGAGUCAUCUUGUUGCUUGUGCAUUUAUCUUACAUAGAAAGCAUUAUUUCUCCCUUCCUUUUUGAUAUUUUCCUGCUCUUUCCUUUCUGCACUCAUUAAAGUACACUUGGCUUUUGCAAUGCAAAUCUCCUGCCUACUGGAAUUCCAGUUAUUGGAGAAAGGGUGUGUAUUUUUCCACAUAGGAAUGUGAUGGGAAUUGGAUCAUU
ensembl:lncRNA